rnacentral:misc_RNA from 1 species
AGGAGGAUUUGCAACAGCUUAAGUUCUAUUCUGGGAAAAGAACACACGCCUCUAGAACUAAAAGACAGAAAAUUGCUAAGAAUGAGGCGGAGAUGUCAAAAGGUGUUAAGUUGGUGGCACAAUUGGAAAGGAUCAGGUCAAUCCUUGAAGAAGAAACUGGUCAAGUAGCUACUUUCAGUAGCUGGGCAAAAGCUGCUGGGAUUGAACAGAAGGAGUUGCAGCAACACUUGCAUUUUGGUUGGUAUUGCAGGGAUGAGCUUCUGAAAAGUACACGGUCCUUGGUCUUAUAUCUGGCAAGAAACUACAGGGGGCUUGGAGUGGCAUUUGAAGACUUAAUUCAGGCUGGAAACAUGGGUGUUCUACAAGGUGCUGUAAGGUUUGACCACACUAGGGGAUACAAAUUCUCGACUUACG